AGCGAACGCUGGCGGCAGGCCUAACACAUGCAAGUCGAACGAAGUCUUCGGACUUAGUGGCGGACGGGUGAGUAACACGUGGGAACGUACCUUUUGGUUCGGAACAACUCAGGGAAACUUGAGCUAAUACCGAAUGUGCCCUUAGGGGGAAAGAUUCAUCGCCAUUAGAGCGGCCCGCGUUAGAUUAGCUAGUUGGUGGGGUAAAGGCCCACCAAGGCUACGAUCUAUAGCUGGUCUGAGAGGAUGAUCAGCCACACUGGGACUGAGACACGGCCCAGACUCCUACGGGAGGCAGCAGUGGGGAAUCUUGCGCAAUGGGCGAAAGCCUGACGCAGCCAUGCCGCGUGAAUGAUGAAGGUCUUAGGAUUGUAAAAUUCUUUCAGUAGGGACGAUAAUGACGGUACCUACAGAAGAAGCCCCGGCUAACUUCGUGCCAGCCGCCGCGGUAACAC
rnacentral:rRNA from 1 species